GCUUGGUUUAUGGUUGUUGCUGGCGAAAGUCGGCUCGACUGAAAUACACGAGCAACCCAUUUGAAACUAGACGGUUUGACUCGGCGUAAUAAUUAUUUCGCUGAGGACGUCUUAUAUUCAAUUUAUUAGUGGUGCUUCUAAUGCAAAUCAUAACAUAAGCUUUAGACCUCAAAUCAGAUAGGACUACCCGCUGAACUUAA
rnacentral:misc_RNA from 1 species